rnacentral:rRNA from 1 species
UGGGGAAUAUUGCACAAUGGGCGCAAGCCUGAUGCAGCCAUGCCGCGUGUAUGAAGAAGGCCUUCGGGUUGUAAAGCACUUUCAGCGGGGAGGAAGGCGUUAAGGUUAAUAACCUUGGCGAUUGACGUUACCCGCAGAAGAAGCACCGGCUAACUCCGUGCCAGCAGCCGCGGUAAUACGGAGGGUGCAAGCGUUAAUCGGAAUUACUGGGCGUAAAGCGCACGCAGGCGGUUGAUUGAGUCAGAUGUGAAAUCCCCGGGCUUAACCCGGGAAUUGCAUCUGAUACUGGCAAGCUUGAGUCUCGUAGAGGGGGGUAGAAUUCCAGGUGUAGCGGUGAAAUGCGUAGAGAUCUGGAGGAAUACCGGUGGCGAAGGCGGCCCCCUGGACGAAGACUGACGCUCAGGUGCGAAAGCGUGGGGAGCAAACAGG